rnacentral:rRNA from 1 species
GGUUAAGCGACUAAGCGUACACGGUGGAUGCCCUGGCAGUCAGAGGCGAUGAAGGACGUGCUAAUCUGCGAUAAGCGUCGGUAAGGUGAUAUGAACCGUUAUAACCGGCGAUUUCCGAAUGGGGAAACCCAGUGUGAUUCGUCACACUAUCAUUAACUGAAUCCAUAGGUUAAUGAGGCGAACCGGGGGAACUGAAACAUCUAAGUACCCCGAGGAAAAGAAAUCAACCGAGAUUCCCCCAGUAGCGGCGAGCGAACGGGGAGCAGCCCAGAGCCUGAAUCAGUGUGUGUGUUAGUGGAAGCGUCUGGAAAGGCGCGCGAUACAGGGUGACAGCCCCGUACACAAAAAUGCACAUGCUGUGAGCUCGAUGAGUAGGGCGGGACACGUGGUAUCCUGUCUGAAUAUGGGGGGACCAUCCUCCAAGGCUAAAUACUCCUGACUGACCGAUAGUGAACCAGUACCGUGAGGGAAAGGCGAAAAGAACCCCGGCGAGGGGAGUGAAAAAGAACCUGAAACCGUGUACGUACAAGCAGUGGGAGCCUCUUUAUGGGGUGACUGCGUACCUUUUGUAUAAUGGGUCAGCGACUUAUAUUCUGUAGCAAGGUUAACCGAAUAGGGGAGCCGAAGGGAAACCGAGUCUUAACUGGGCGUUAAGUUGCAGGGUAUAGACCCGAAACCCGGUGAUCUAGCCAUGGGCAGGUUGAAGGUUGGGUAACACUAACUGGAGGACCGAACCGACUAAUGUUGAAAAAUUAGCGGAUGACUUGUGGCUGGGGGUGAAAGGCCAAUCAAACCGGGAGAUAGCUGGUUCUCCCCGAAAGCUAUUUAGGUAGCGCCUCGUGAACUCAUCUCCGGGGGUAGAGCACUGUUUCGGCAAGGGGGUCAUCCCGACUUACCAACCCGAUGCAAACUGCGAAUACCG